rnacentral:misc_RNA from 1 species
CUAAGUUCAGCGGGUAUUCCUACCUGAUCCGAGGUCAACUUAAAAAGAUUGGGGUUGAUGGUCGUCGACCGCCAGGACCCAUAGCGAGAAAUUUACUACGCUCGGGACCCAACGGCGCCGCCACUGAGUUUAGGGCUCGCCAUCACUGGCGCGGCCCAAUACCAAGCAGAGCUUGAGUGGUGUUAAUGACGCUCGAACAG